rnacentral:rRNA from 1 species
AGGACUAACGCUGGCGGCGUGCCUAACACAUGCAAGUCGAACGAGGGGUAGCAAUACCCCUAGUGGCAGACGGGUGAGUAACACGUAGUCAACCUACCUCUUAAUGGGGGAUAACUAGCCGAAAGGUUAGCUAAUACCGCAUACGAUCGUCGAGUGGCAUCACACGACGAUGAAAGGAGCAAUCCGUUGAGAGAGGGGACUGCGUCCCAUUAGUUAGUUGGUGGGGUAAUGGCCUACCAAGACUCCGAUGGGUAGCUGGCUUGAGAGAGCGACCAGCCACACUGGAACUGAGACACGGUCCAGACUCCUACGGGAGGCAGCAGUGAGGAAUUUUCCGCAAUGGGGGAAACCCUGACGGAGCGACGCCGCGUGUGGGAAGAAGGCCUUCGGGUCGUAACCACUGUCGAGGGGGACGAUAUUGACGGUACCCUGGAGGAAGCCCCGGCUAACUACGCGCCAGCAGCCGC